CUAGGCUUUGUGGCAACUAAAACACACAAUAUGAGAGAGACAUGUAAGCCAUUCUGGCUAUGAAAAGACUUCCCCCAAAAAUCCAUAUAAAGUACCAAUAUUCAUUUCUUUCAAAACUGGUUUCUCAACAUAAACAAUCAUUCUUUGCAAUGAUAGUUGGAGCUAUCCACCAACCGCUCAACAACUUAAAUUCAAAUGGAUGAUUACCUUGUACCCCAAAACACGCAAUUCACACUCCUCUUAGAAACAUCCACAAUCAAGCAUAUAUAACAAUAUUAUUGUAAUAAAACUCAACCAUGAAAAACAUGGUGAAAACAACAUAGGCAUACUUGUAUAUCACAAGCAUAAUAACAACUUCAUUCUCACCAAUGACCAGCGAUAUCUACCGCAUUAAUAAAACAAUAUCACAAUUUCAGAAAUAAAUUAUAUUAAGCAUUAAGCCAUAAACAACUUACCACAUCACCGUAAAGGAAUAGGGAGGGGUGAAACUAUUGUCAUCUGCACUCCAAAGACAUUAAUAUAUAUCAAAGAUAUUUGAACCCAUACCCUUCCUAUAUGUGCAAGUGUGUCAAAUUUAUCUUCAAAUUGCCAAGAAUCUAAAGCCUAGGCUUUGAUACCAACUGUAACACCCCGGGAUCCACAAACACCCCAGAAUGCUACUAAACUACACAUCCAAUAUUCAUAUAUAAAAUUUCAACAGCAUCUCCUUUGAAAAUUGCAUAAACGGGGAAGCAACAAAGUAUAAAUAGAUAUCAUGAUAAGAAAACAUAUAAGACAUUAAUAAUCUGCUAGCAAUGGGAAGACAACCAUAACAACAUGAACUGAAUUAAUCAGUGCGCACGACUAGUUAAAAACAAACAUCCUUUGACAAGAAGUUUCUAAUUAAAUCAUGGCUGCGUCUGGGCAGCAUUAUUAUGAGAAUGAAGGUGGAUGUGCUGCUACUUCCCACUCCCCUUGAUGAGCAACAAGCACCUGCAUUGAGUAAUGCAAGAGUGAGAUGAAACAUCUCAGCAAGCUAAUUGUUCUGACGAGAUAUUUAAACCACAAAUUGAAUUCAUCAACAUUUUAAAAGAGUCACAAUUAAAAAUCAGAAAUGCUUGUAGAUAUAGAACUCAGUAGUCCCACUAUAACCAAUACCAUCUCAUUUCCUCGAACAACCACAAUAGGUUCUAUAACACUUCCCUGCGUCAACAAUACCUGCAAAUAUCACUUCAAUGUAUGCAUAGGAAUGCAAUGUGUAGGUACUCUAUCUUCAUACCUCUGGGGGUAUAAAACCACAUCAUCUGCAAAUAUCACUUCAAUGAAUGCAUAUGAAUGCAAUGCAUAUGUCUUCUGCCUUCAUACCUCUAAGGGUAUGAAGCCGCAUCGUACCCCUUCUCGGGCAACGUACGAUGCUAAGUUGUACCGGUACGGUCGGACCAUAGGUCACGACAAAACUUCAUAUGCAAAUGAGUCAUGCAAUGUAUAUGGCAUGCUACAUUUAUCAAUAAACUUCACUUCCUUCAGAUACAACACAAACCUCAAAUAAUACUUCAUUUACCUUCAGAUACAAUACCAACCUCAAAUAAUACUUCAUUUACCUUCAGGGGUGUGAAUUAAUCUCAUGAGUCAUACUCAAAUCAUAAUCAUCAUCAAUAUAUGAUUGAGCAUCAGUAUAAUGCAAGAAAGUAAAGCAUCACCAUAGAGUCCAAUUAUGAGAGAAUCUGAUACUUCUGAAUAUUAGAGUGUAGGCGAUAGAAAUAACAGGUCAGAACGGAAGCAACCACCGCUACAUUCACUUGCCUUCAUCGAAGAAGAAGAAAUGUACUAGACAUGAUCUGGAGUGUAGCCACCUGCUAGUGGCCAUAAAACUUAGUACACAUAUUUCACAAACAUUUGCCAUCAAUCAACAAAACACUCCUACACUUGAAACCAAGACCCAGUGGAAAGACUCCCACCCUAAACCACAUGCCAUACAACAGCAACGCUGUUUGUUAAUUUUGUAUCUUUAAAAUUAAAACAGUGGUGAUAUCAAACAAAUACUCUAGGAGUAUCUACACAAAAUACUCUACAACUUCAGUAUUCAAUAGAUAAUUAAAUUCUGCCAUCUACAAGUUCUAAAACAUCUGACAAGAUAACUGACUGAAUCUGUUUUAGACAGCAGUAUGGUUAACUUUAAAAUUCGAUAUCUCCAAAACUGCUGAACCAAAAAUUAUGAAAUUCUGCUGGAAGUAAGAACUUUUAUCCCUCUACAAAAGUCUCCAUAGUUGGAAGAGCCAAUUCGGCCAUUUACUAGAUGAAACCCACCAGUGAACAGACCCACUCAUUUUUGUCAGGUAAACAGGAACAGCCACAGUAAAACAAACAUAACUGGAGUUUCACAAAUCAUAUGAAUGCACUCUUUAACAAUAUGGAAAGCUUAUAAAAUUAUCUACAACUUCUUUUACCAACCCACAGUUUAAUUCUGUUGAUAAAAUUGCCUAAAUCUUAAGAGAACAGAUUCUGCACAGAAUUAUGAGACUGAAAAACUGCUAUAGUAAAACUGCAAUAACUUUCUGGUCGGAUGUCCGAUUGAGGUGUUCUUCGCGGCCACGGAAAGAUCUACAAAUUAUCUACGACUCAUACAUAGACUUUUUAUUUUUUUGAGGCCACUAAGGCCAUGGAAAACUGGCAUGAACAGAAACUGUCGAAUCUGCCAUUCUGCAGAAAACUAAAUUCGAGAUCAAAACCUAACCCCACAUCAAAUCCAACCUCUAAUCCUUUAAUUCCCAUGAUCCACAACCUCCAAAAGCCUAUAAUUACAGGGAGGAACAAGGAUCUGAUCCAUACCUAGGGUUUCCCCAAGAAAUCUUCAAGAGGAGAUGGGGAAGAACAUCUCCUUGAUCCUCUCUUCCUCUUCAAUUCAACGUGCCCCUCCUUUUCUCGAUCCUUGCUGCGUAGGGGGAGAUCUUGGGGGAGGAAGCAAUGGAGGAUGGCUGCCAUAGGGGGAGGGGGCGUCCAGCCAAGGGGGAGAAAAAGGGGGUGGCGGCCAAGAGGGGGGUGAAGGGAAAAAAAGGGGUGGCCACCUAGGGUUUUUGUGGGAGAAAGAAACGACGCCUCAGAUGACUUAUAUCUUUGCAUCCAAUGGCCCACAACCCUUUACCUCAUCCACGCACCAGAGAUUAACUUUUGGUCAACAUUUUUUUUGGGAUAUUACACUCUACCCCCCUUAAAAAGAAUUCGACCUCGAAUUCGGCCACUCCAAGCAAAACACCCAAGGUACCCCAUAUAGCACCACAAUUCAAAACAUGUGUCCAUUAUUGGUCUUAAUUAACACAAGAACUUCUACCUUGGACUAAUUGUCUAAGGAAACUACACGACCUGACAUCAAGCAUGAAACAACAUGUAAUGAAGCACAAAGCAUGUCAUAGUUGCAAUCAACACUCCAAUUUCACACCAUCAAAUUUGGAUGCAGCUAUACAUCAACAUCAAUGUCUUAAGACAACACUCUUUUAUGAAGGGGUAAUAUGCACCAAGCACAACCCUUACCAACUUCAACCAUUAAUUUUAAUUAAAUGGUGAAACAUCUACACCCGACGAAUGUAUAAGAAGAUCAAACACCUCACCUUAAAGCACUAUGAAACAAGUAGUUCUAUUGGAACAAAACUCCUAAUCUUCCUAAACCUUAUUCUUGCCAUCAUGAAAAGAUAAUCAUGUAAUCUAACAUUCCUUGCACCCCACCAAAAGGGAGAAAAUCUAUAGAACUAAUGGAGCAAUAAAGCCAAAAGAAGCCAAUAACAUCUUGUGCGGCAUAGUUCAUCGAAGAAAUGCCAAAAACUCUACAUAGAGCACUGAUAGCCCAACAACAACACAAUACUUGCUUAACCCAUGUCACUAUACUUCAUUCAACAUCUCAACUAAGAAAAAUAUCCAACUAGUAAGGAUAACCUACACAUAAUAUAAGUCUUCAUCUACUGUAGUUCAGAAACUUACAUUUCAUUCUAUCAUACGAUGCACUCAAAGUACCAGACAUACAAAGUCAAUAAUAAUAACCCCUAAUCCUUCACACAUUUGACAAACAUAUUAAGCUGAUGUAAACACCACAUGAUCUAGGAAUAGGUGACUAGCCACACCCAACCAACUCUAGGCUAGGCAAGGACUUCCUUCAAACCAAUAGAUAGGUGGUCUAAAAAAAAUGGCUCCACAAGCAUGCAUCGAAAAGGGAACCAUCAGAUCCUCAAUGUAUCAAUACAUAAUCAAUGGAUCAAGAGAAUCAAAGAUUUAUUCUACAAUUAGUAUGACUAACAGGCAACCACUUUAAACCACAUCUAGGCUUUGUGGCAACUAAAACACACAAUAUGAGAGAGACAUGUAAGCCAUUCUGGCUAUGAAAAGACUUCCCCCAAAAAUCCAUAUAAAGUACCAAUAUUCAUUUCUUUCAAAACUGGUUUCUCAACAUAAACAAUCAUUCUUUGCAAUGAUAGUUGGAGCUAUCCACCAACCGCUCAACAACUUAAAUUCAAAUGGAUGAUUACCUUGUACCCCAAAACACGCAAUUCACACUCCUCUUAGAAACAUCCACAAUCAAGCAUAUAUAACAAUAUUAUUGUAAUAAAACUCAACCAUGAAAAACAUGGUGAAAACAACAUAGGCAUACUUGUAUAUCACAAGCAUAAUAACAACUUCAUUCUCACCAAUGACCAGCGAUAUCUACCGCAUUAAUAAAACAAUAUCACAAUUUCAGAAAUAAAUUAUAUUAAGCAUUAAGCCAUAAACAACUUACCACAUCACCGUAAAGGAAUAGGGAGGGGUGAAACUAUUGUCAUCUGCACUCCAAAGACAUUAAUAUAUAUCAAAGAUAUUUGAACCCAUACCCUUCCUAUAUGUGCAAGUGUGUCAAAUUUAUCUUCAAAUUGCCAAGAAUCUAAAGCCUAGGCUUUGAUACCAACUGUAACACCCCGGGAUCCACAAACACCCCAGAAUGCUACUAAACUACACAUCCAAUAUUCAUAUAUAAAAUUUCAACAGCAUCUCCUUUGAAAAUUGCAUAAACGGGGGAAGCAACAAAGUAUAAAUAGAUAUCAUGAUAAGAAAACAUAUAAGACAUUAAUAAUCUGCUAGCAAUGGGAAGACAACCAUAACAACAUGAACUGAAUUAAUCAGUGCGCACGACUAGUUAAAAACAAACAUCCUUUGACAAGAAGUUUCUAAUUAAAUCAUGGCUGCGUCUGGGCAGCAUUAUUAUGAGAAUGAAGGUGGAUGUGCUGCUACUUCCCACUCCCCUUGAUGAGCAACAAGCACCUGCAUUGAGUAAUGCAAGAGUGAGAUGAAACAUCUCAGCA
rnacentral:lncRNA from 1 species